rnacentral:rRNA from 1 species
UACAGAGGGUGCGAGCGUUAAUCGGAAUUACUGGGCGUAAAGGGUGCGUAGGUGGCAAAUUAAGUGAGAUGUGAAAUCCCCGGGCUUAACCUGGGAAUGGCAUUUCAUACUGAAUAGCUAGAGUAUCGCAGAGGAAAGUGGAAUUUCCGGUGUAGCGGUGAAAUGCGUAGAUAUCGGAAAGAACAUCAGUGGCGAAGGCGGCUUUCUGGGCUAAUACUGACACUGAGGCGCGAAAGCGUGGGUAGCAAACAGG